AAGGUAACUUUUAAGUUAGUUAAAUAAAAAACUGUGAAAUAAAACAUUUUAGUAACAGUAAAAAAAUCAACCGAGAUUUUGUUAGUAGUGGUGAGCGAAAACAAAUUUAGAGUAAGUUUAUUAAUUUUUUUUUUUUAAAAAGUUUGGAAAAGCUUGCAAUAAAAGGUUAAAGCCCUGUAAAAAUAAAAAUUCAAUUAAAAAAAAGUAAAAAAAAACCAGUCAUUUUUUUUGAAGAUAACUUUUGGGGUACCACCCUCAAUACUAAAAAUAUUUUUGUAACCGAUAGUGAAAAAGUACUGUGAAGGAAAGUUGAAAAGAAUCUUUUUUAGAAGUGAAAA
rnacentral:rRNA from 15 species